rnacentral:rRNA from 1 species
GAUGAACGCUGGCGUCGUGCCUAAUACAUGCAAGUCGAGCGAACAGACGAGGAGUUUGCUCCUCUGACUUUAGCGGCGAACGGGUGAGUAACACGUGGAUAACCUACCUAUAAGACUAGGAUAACUUCGGGAAACCGGAGCUAAUACCGGAUAAUAUAUUAAACCGCAUGGUUCAAUAGUGAAAGACGGUUUUGCUGUCACUUAUAGAUGGAUCCGCGCCGCAUUAGCUAGUUGGUAAGGUAACGGCUUACCAAGGCAACGAUGCGUAGCCGAGCUGAGAGGGUGAUCGGCCACACUGGAACUGAGACACGGUCCAGACUCCUCAGGGAGGAAGCAGUAGGCAAGCUUCCGCAACGGUCCAAAGCCCGACGGAGAAAAGCCGAGUGAGUCACGAAGGUCUCCGGAUCCUAAAACCCUGUUAUUAGGGAAGAACAAAUGUGUAAGUAACUAUUCACGUAUUGAUCCUCCCUAAGCAGCAAGUCACCGCUAACUACGUG